rnacentral:snRNA from 1 species
GUGCUCACUUUGGCAACAUAUAUUCUAAAAUUGGAAUGAUACAGAAAAGAUUAGCAUGAACCUUGUGCAAGGGUGACAGGCAGAUUAAGGAAAGGUGCUCUGUUUCU